rnacentral:rRNA from 1 species
UUAAAAUGUAAAUUUUAAAGCUAAAUUAUUAGUAGAUAUGUUCUUUAAAGUUAAAGGAUUUGGCGGUAUCCUAGUCUAUUUAGAGGAACCUGUUCUGUAAUUGAUAGUCCACGAUUUAUUGUACUUGUUCUAUUAGUUUAUAUAUCGUCGUAGUUUGAAUAUUUUAAAAGAAUAUAAAUAUUCAGGAUUCUUAAUAAGGAAGGAAAUCAGAUCAAGGUGUAGCUUAUGGGCAAGAAGAAAUGGGUUACAAUAAAUUUAUUUAUAUGGUAUAAAUAUUUGAAAAAUAGUUAUUAAAGUGGAUUUAAAAGUAAUAUAGAUAAAUUUAUCUAUAUGAUUUUAGCUCUAGGAUAUGU